rnacentral:lncRNA from 1 species
AAAGAAUACUCAUCACCACCAUUUAUUUGGAGGAAUUCCCUAGUUCUGAAGAUGUGGAGUGCAUACGUCAUUCAUAUAUGGAGAGUUGUGGAACUGACAUGCAGACUCCUGUCCCUGGCACAUACUUAAGAGUUGCCUUGAAUUCUGGAGUGUCCAUCAGCUGAAGAAUGGAAAGCCACAAGAAAAUGAAAAGAAAUCACAAAAUCAGCUUCCCAUGGCUACUGCUGCCACCACUGAUCAAGAAGCUCCUGCAGUACUGAUCAGCAAGAAGAGAACACUGCAUCUGAGGAGGCUGGGAAAUACAUCUUGAAAAUAUGGAGAAAUUAAAACCCUAUGUCAUUGACAAUGGGCAGUGGCAGAUAAAAGAGGACUGGUUGAUUAAUUCUCACCCCCUACAUGUUGUUCUGAGAUGCAGUGAUGCAUAUGACCUUUCUGAAGACAUCAGGAGAGACCAACCCAGCAAUCAGCUAGGCUGUUAAAAGCUUUGGUCAACUCAGUAACUUGUGUGCUUGUAUAUG